rnacentral:lncRNA from 1 species
UUUCAAGCCUAGCUGCCCCUUGCCAGAGUAUGGAGCUCAUAGGAAGCACUUUAAAAAUAUUUGUUAAAAUGAGUUCUCUUCUAUUAAUUUUCUGAGUUCCUCUAGCAUCCACUUCACCAAAUCAUCAGCAUACAGCUUUGGAAAGAAUUUCAAAAGUUAUUUCGAAAAGUGUAUGGAUCCUGACUACAACAACACUUAGAAAUGAUCCUCCAACAUCUGCUUGAAGACCUUUGGUGAUGGGGAACUCAUUACUUUAUAUAAAACAGACCAUUUUACUUUUGGACAUCUCUAAUUAGAUUCAGAAACCAAUAGAGUUAUAGAUCCUGUAAUGGUGGAAAUUUUGGGGAGAUGGGAGAGGUUAUAAUAUUGUAAUGGCUAAAAUGUGGCUACAGGAUUUAUGUAAUAUUAAACAAUGGCCGCCAAGGAAUUUACUUAUGAAAUUCCUAAAAAUGAAACACUCAAGUCAGAAUGAAGUUUAUGGAGGUUUAAUCACACUGGGAGUAGGGAAAAGGAUAGGGAGAGAAGGAGAGAAGAGAAAAGGGAAAAAGGGAAAGGGGCUACUCAACCUCUGACCAAGGCAGAGGGAGUUUUAGGCCCAAAGGCCCAGGUGGAAAGAGUCAGUCCUUAACUCACGUGACCAAUCUGAAGGAAAGCUGUCUGCGGGCGUCCUCCCUCUCCAAGCUCCUAACACCAACCCUUCCUAACACCAACUCGCGUCUCCCUCUCCCCACAGGAAGUGCGCGAAUUCCAGAGGCUGUUCCCUACCUCACUUCCUGUGUCUCACAAAAUCCAAUGGUUGGCUCUAGCUUGGCUUAGGACAGCCCAGGUGGGCAGUUAGUUAUUUCUGAUUUGUCAUUGACUAGCACAUGCCCGUGUAGUGUGGGUGUGCACAAUUUUUGGGUGCUAGACCAAGAUGGAGACUUUUAAAAUUCACAAUCCAGAGCUAUAAGGGAGAUCAAUUAGUUCAAUCCACUAAUUAGAGAAAAAGAAACUGAGGCAUACAAAGGUUAAAUGACUUGCCUAGUAGUACUCAAACAGUUCCAUAAUUGAAAUAUGUCUCCCUAUAGCUGCAACCCAUUGAUUCUAGCUCUGUCUACCAUGGCCAGAGACAAAUUAAUUUCCUUAUAAGAACAACCUUUCAAUAUCUGAAAGUAACAAUCCUGAUUUUCUAAGUCCUUUUUGUUUUUCCAAGUGAAUUUUUUUAGACCCUUAACUUCUGUCUUAGAAUCAAUUGAUUCCAAGGCAGAAUAGCAGUAAGGGCUUGACAAUGGGAUAAUUUAAGUGACUUGCCCAGGGUCACACAGUUAGGAAGUUUCUGAGGUCAGUUUUGAACCCAAGACCUUCUGUCUCUGGGUCUGGUUCUCAAUCCACUGAGCCCCGUAGCUGUCCC